GUGCAAGAGCAACUGUUUACAUCACCGACAAGAGUGUAACUACUGCUCCUACUAUCAAAGGCCUCCCACUUACAGCCGAUCAUUGAUGAUAAAAGCAUUACUGGGGCUGAUCAUGGCUGGUGGUUUCCUGACUUAUUUGCUGCAAA